rnacentral:rRNA from 1 species
CGAACCGUGCGAACGUUAUUCGGAAUCACUGGGCUUAAAGCGCGUGUAGGCGGGGUGGCACGUCCGGCGCUGAAAUCCCCCGGCUCAACCGGGGAACGGGCGCGGAUACGACCGCCCUCGAGGGACGUAGGGGGACCUGGAACUUCCGGUGGAGCGGUGAAAUGCGUUGAGAUCGGAAGGAACGCCCGUGGCGAAAGCGAGGUCCUGGACGUCCGCUGACGCUGAGACGCGAAAGCCAGGGGAGCG